GACAGAGGGGGCAAGCGUUGUCCGGAGUAACUGGGCGUAAAGCGCACGCAGGUGGCCGCGCAAGUGCCGUGUGAAAGCGCCGGGCUUAACCCGGCGAGGCCAGGGCAGACUGCACGGCUCGAGGGCGGCAGAGGUCCGUGGAAUUGCCGGUGUAGUGGUGAAAUGCGUAGAGAUCGGCAGGAACACCGGUGGUGUAGACGGCUUUCUGGACCGACACUGACGCUGAGACACGAAAGCGUGGGUAGCAAACAGG
rnacentral:rRNA from 1 species